rnacentral:lncRNA from 1 species
UAUUAUCAGCCAUAGGAUCCUCAAAGAGCCCCAUUGUGAAUUUGACUCUCAAGAUUCUCUCCACAGCAUCGUCGAUUCUGCUCAUCGGGAUGAGUUUUCGCUUUACCUGACUGGUUAGUUCGUCGAUUAACUCUGUCAAGUUUGAUGAACCCAUGAUCUGCACCCGAUGAUUUUAGUCACAUCAAGCGUUUUUAUAUCUUUAAAACUUAAGAACCAUUUCAAGACUGACCAUAUCGAGUCCAGCAGUGAUAGCAGCAUAAACCGAAUGUGAAUAGUUAGCACCAAGAGGUGUGGUGAUCUGAUCAACACCUAGAUAAUCUGAGAUGACAAUGCCCUGCAAAUAGAUUUAAAAUCGUUUAUAUUUUUCUGCUUUGCUUAAGCCAGAUCUUUUAAUGAUUAAAGUUACCCUGAACUUGAGCUUGUUCUUUAGGAAACCCGUGAUAAGUUUCUUAUUGGCAUGCAUUUUCAACCCGUUCAAGGACGAGUAGGAUACCAUAACUGUUGCAACUCCCUUGUUUACCGCAUCAUAAUAAGCCGGCAUGUGAAUUCCGAGCAAUCCAUUUGCACUAGUAACCGUGUUGUUUGCGUUCAUACCUCUCAAUGUACCUCCAUCUCCAACAAAGUGUUUAGCGCAGGCUGCCACUUUUGUCCUGCAAGUUUACCUAGUUAUCUAUUUAACUCCAUCAAUCUUUGCUUCUCUAGAUAUUCAUUAAAGUGUACUUACUUUCCAGCGACGAAAGGAACACCCGUUUGAUUAGUGGGAAGGUCACCUUGCAAACCGGGUAUGAUCUCAGUCAUCUGUUGAACUAGUCUGUGAUCCUCACUAUAGCUCUCAUAGCACCUUCCCCAUCUAGGGUCCCUACACACCUGCUCAAAGUGAUUAUUACAAUAACUAUGUUUCUGCUUUUCUUAAGAUCAUAUUUACUUACUGCAAUACAUGGGGCAAAGACAUAUUGGAUUCCUGUUGCUCUAACUUCAAGCGCAGUUGCUUCCCCAAUUCUCUUCACAAGGCCUGGGUCCCUAACAGAUGAAUAUAACAGAACAGUUAAGAAACAACGUUUUGGGUCUAUCUAUUCAUUUGGAAUAGGAUUCUCUAUAAGAACUUGCCUGGUGGCUCCGAGGCCUAUGUUAUGAGGGAAAAUGGUGGCGUUGUACGCAUUGUUGUGACCAUGAACAGCAUCGAUUCCGUAAAUUAUGGGAAUCCCUAAGCGGGUCGAAAGCGCUUUCUUUUGGAUCUCAUUCACCAUGUUCACCCAAGCUUCAGGACUGGCAUUUGGCGUCGGCACACUCCCUCCCCCGCUAAACACACUUCCUGCAAACAUAAUUCCGAAACAGUUGAGUGUUCAUACAUGUUUUAACAAUGUUGUGACGGUCCAGAGUCAUACCGAUGAAGUACUUUCGAAUGACUUCGGCUGUGGCAUUGACUCGUUCCACCUGAAUCAUCUGCCCUAUUUUCUCUUCAAGUGUCAUACGGCUCAUCAGGCUCUUGAUCCUGACUCCCAAUGGCUCUUUCGGGUCCUUAUACUUUGCGCUCGCGAGUGGUAGUUUAUUAGCUGCCACGGCACAACAGAGUAGCAGAAGGCCUAACCUCUGUAGCAAGUAACUCAAACUCCCCAUGUCAGCCCUCUAUUUCACUCUCGACAGCUGCAGAUGACUAAAUAUAAAAUAGUCAAGAGUGAGAUUUUUGAUUAACCAGUUGAGAAGGGGAAGACGAUCAAGCUAUAUGAUGACGACAACAACGAUGAGUCGAUGAGUAUUGAUGAAUAUAACAAUUUCCGAAUGAGACAAGCAACACUAAGAGGUUGAGAUUUUCGUUGUUGUCUCGACUGAGACAGGAACGUUCUGAGGUUGAGAUUUUGUCGAUAUGCCUAUACUUGGGUUUGUUAUGCUUGGGAGGUUAUGUAGAGACGUGUGAUAUCAUUACCGUGACUACUGACUAGUAACAAUCAAAAAAACAAAUCAGAUUCUCUCCCUUUUUUGAAAAUUAUAUGAUAAAAUAAAAUCUUAGUAGCUAAAGAAAAUAAUCAUCUUUAUAUAAUAGUUUCCAUAUACAUAUAACUGCAGUUUAUUUGUUUCUUUUCUUAGUGCAAUUUAGAUACUUUUCUUCUUUACUUGUUGAGGUGUUUCAUAGAAGUAUGUUGGAUUUAAUACUUCAAAAAGAUUCAUCCCUUUUAGAUGAAUAUUUUUUUUCUUGCAAGUCUAUGUUAAAUUUGUCAUUGUCACCUUUGCAAAUGCGCACCUGCAUAUGUCCGGACACGCCUGCAUGUGGCAUUGUCUCUCACCUUGGAUUUAUUACCCAAAUGUUAACUAUCUUACUAAACUGAAAUACAGGUUCACAAGGGCAAACAAGAAAAAGCUGGACCAAAUGAUCGAUGCUUUAUAACACACUAGCUUUGUAGACAGACAAUCUCAAAGUUUCAACCUUCAUAUGAGCUUUAAAUCCAC